rnacentral:lncRNA from 1 species
AGGAACAUCAGAGGUGUAACAAAUAAGGGACUGGUAGGGUCAACAGGAGUCGUAUUAGUACUCAUGUUAGCAAUCGUGAAUAACAACGAGUUCAAAGUCAAAAUAUAGUCUCUGCAAGUAUGUUGAAAAACUAAAGUUGUAUCAAAAACUUCAUGCAAAUCAUAUAACACCUAAAAUAGGAACAGAUUUAUCUUCAUUCUUCGCGACCGGAGAAGAUCGGCCUUCGAUUAACAGAAAACUGCCAGUUUCGAACAGCAGAAAUCCAGUAGAAACCCUAAAAUCCGAAGCCUCACCGGAAUCGACUCGAGAACGUCGGAAAAAUAACCCAAAACGUUCGAGUGAAGAAGAUACAAGCAGAUAUCACGAUGAAAGUAUCAGAUAAACAUCCGAUUUAGAUCGGAAUCAUCAUCGACCAAAUACGUCAGAAACACCCCCAAAAAUUUCCAACGAGACUUCAACCGAG